rnacentral:lncRNA from 1 species
CUAUCAAUGAACUCACCUUAAUCCAAAGAGAUGAUGAAGGAGUUAAGACGGGGUUGAUGAUGUUGAUGAUGAUCUUAUGAAUUUUCCCCUUCUUUUUCCAUGAGCUUUUUCUUCUUCUUUCUCCCUUCCCCCUUUUCUCUCAUUUCUCUUCUCUUCUUUUCCUCUUUUCUUUGUCUCUUUAGUGAUUUUUCUUUCUCUUUUUCUUAUCCACUUU